rnacentral:rRNA from 1 species
AAUCAACGCUGGCGGCGUGCCUCAGACAUGCAAGUCGAACGCGAAAGGUUCCUUCGGGAGCCGAGUAGAGUGGCGCUCGGGUGAGUAACACGUAGGUAAUUUGCCUUUGGGUGGGGAAUAACAAUCGGAAACGGUUGCUAAUACCGCAUAAUGCAGCGGCUCGACAUCGAGACAGUUGUUAAAGCGGGGGAGUCCUUCGGG